rnacentral:rRNA from 1 species
AUUGAACGCUGGCGGCAGGCCUAACACAUGCAAGUCGAACGAGCGGCGGACGGGUGAGUAAUGUCUGGGAAACUGCCUGAUGGAGGGGGAUAACUACUGGAAACGGUAGCUAAUACCGCAUACCAUCAGAUGUGCCCAUAUGGGAUUAGCUAGUUGGUGGGGUAACGGCUCACCAAGGCGACGAUCCCUAGCUGGUCUGAGAGGAUGACCAGCCACACUGGGACUGAGAAACGGUCCAGACUCCUACGGGAGGCAGCAGUGGGGAAUAUGGCACAAUGGGCGCAAGACUGAGGCAGCCAUGCCGCGUGUAUGAAGAAGGCCAUCGGGUUGUAAAGUACUUUCAGCGGGGAGGCGUUACCCGCAGAAGAAGCACCGGCUAAAUCCGAGCCAGCAGCCGAGGUAAUAC